CCAUUUUACAUGAAGUGACCAACCAUCAUGUUGUUGUAGACAAAAUGUACACUUGAUAUCCAUAAUUUAUGGUACAAAUUGAUACAAAUUGAUAAUAGGUUAGGUAAAUGUUCCAUGAUAAUGGGUUAGGUAAAUGUUUCAUGAUAAUAGGUUAGGUAAAUAUUCCAUGAUAAUGGGUUAGGUAAAUGUUUCAUGAUAAGAAUUUCAUGUCUUUUGUAUUAAAGAAUUAAAUGGAUGAAAUAUGAAGUUUUAUUAAAAGAAAAAGGGGUGAAAAGAACAAAGUUUUGUCCAUCUUUGUUCAUCAUAGCUGAAAGUUAGAGAAGAGAAAAGAGAGGAGAAAGCUCUUGAGUAUUCGGUCAUUAGGAGGAGGAAAAUUGAAGGAAAUCCCCAACCAUAGUGGGCUUGGAGCUGUGAGGGAAUUCGGAGUGACCACCCGUUCUGAAAGUUUGAUUUUCUUCUGGUGAACUGGACAUCCUUUUAAUUACGUUUGAGGUUUUGGGCUUUUAAAUGUAAUAAGGCCGCUUAUUUAUUUUUGAUGGUUUUUAAUAUGUAUUACUAAGAUAGGUAAUACUUAUUUUAACUGUUGAAAUUGGAUAGCUUUAGGGCGCGAUUUCAAAAACAA